rnacentral:rRNA from 1 species
GAUGAACGCUGACAGAAUGCUUAACACAUGCAAGUCAACUUGAAUUUGGGUUUUUAACUUCGGUUUGGGUGGCGGACGGGUGAGUAACGCGUAAAGAACUUGCCUCACAGCUAGGGACAACAUUUGUAAACGAAUGCUAAUACCUAAUAUUAUGAUAAUAGGGCAUCCUAUAAUUAUGAAAGCUAUAAGCGCUGUGAGAGAGCUUUGCGUCCCAUUAGCUAGUUGGAGAGGUAACGGCUCACCAAGGCGAUGAUGGGUAGCCGGCCUGAGAGGGUGAUCGGCCACAAGGGGACUGAGACACGGCCCUUACUCCUACGGGAGGCAGCAGUGGGGAAUAUUGGACAAUGGACCGAGAGUCUGAUCCAGCAAUUCUGUGUGCACGAUGAAGUUUUUCGGAAUGUAAAGUGCUUUCAGUUGGGAAGAAACAAAUGACGGUACCAACAGAAGAAGUGACGGCUAAAUACGUG